rnacentral:rRNA from 1 species
UUAAAGAUUUAUCGGUGAUGGAUGGGGAUGCGUCUGAUUAGCUUGUUGGCGGGGUAACGGCCCACCAAGGCGACGAUCAGUAGGGGUUCUGAGAGGAAGGUCCCCCACAUUGGAACUGAGACACGGUCCAAACUCCUACGGGAGGCAGCAGUGAGGAAUAUUGGUCAAUGGACGAGAGUCUGAACCAGCCAAGUAGCGUGCAGGAUGACGGCCCUAUGGGUUGUAAACUGCUUUUAUAAGGGAAUAAAGUGAGCCUCGUGAGGCUUUUUGCAUGUACCUUAUGAAUAAGGACCGGCUAAUUCCGUGCCAGCAGCCGCGGUAAUACGGAAGGUCCGGGCGUUAUCCGGAUUUAUUGGGUUUAAAGGGAGCGUAGGCCGGAGAUUAAGCGUGUUGUGAAAUGUAGAUGCUCAACAUCUGCACUGCAGCGCGAACUGGUUUCCUUGAGUACGCACAAAGUGGGCGGAAUUCGUGGUGUAGCGGUGAAAUGCUUAGAUAUCACGAAGAACUCCGAUUGCGAAGGCAGCUCACUGGAGCGCAACUGACGCUGAAGCUCGAAAGUGCGGGUAUCGAACAGGAUUAGAUACCCUGGUAGUCCGCACGGUAAACGAUGGAUGCCCGCUGUUGGUCUGAAUAGGUCAGCGGCCAAGCGAAAGCAUUAAGCAUCCCACCUGGGGA